GGACAGGGUCUCACAAUUUUGCCCAGGCUGGUCUCAAACACUUGGUUCUAGCAGUCCUCCAGACUUGGCCUCCCAAAGUGCUGGGAUUACAGAUGUGAGUCAUGCAUAUUUUGUAUAUGGAUGUCUGCUUGUUCAAGCACGAUUUGUUGCAAAGACUAUCCUUUCUCCAUUGAAUUGCUUUUGCACCUUUGUCAAAAAUCAAUUGGCUGGCCAGGCACGGUGGCUCACGCCUGUAAUCCGAGCACUUUGGGAGGCCAAGGCAGGAGAACGGCGUGAACCCGGGAGGCGGAGCUUGUAGUGAGCCUAGAUCAAGCCACUGCACUCCAGCCUGGGGGACAGAGUGAGACUCCGUCUCAAAAAUAAAUAAAUAAAUAAAUUAAUUAAUUAAUUAAUUUUAAAAAAAGAUUAACCAGGUGUGGUGGCCCACAUCUGUGGUCCCAGCUACUCAGGAGGCUGAGGCAGGGGAUUGCUUAAGCCUGGGAGGUCAAGGCUGCAGUGGACGGAACUGUAUUUGCGCCACUGUACUCCAGCCUGGGUGACAGAUGGAGAUCUUGUCUCAAGAAAGGAAAAAAAAAAAAAGAUAUGUUGAAGCCCUAACCCUCAACACCUUGAAAUAUGACCUCAGUUGGAAAUAGACACAUUGUAGAUGUAGUUAAGAUAAGGUCAGCCCUUAAUCCAAUAUGUUUGAUAUUCUUAUAGGAGGAGAAGAGACACAGAGACACAGAGAGAACGCCAGGUGACAACUGAGGCAGAAGUUAGAGUGCUUCUGUCACAAGCCAAGGAACACCAGUGACUGCAGGCAAGCCACCAGAAGCUGGAAAGAUGCUGAAAAGAAUCCUCCCCUGGAGGCUUAAGAGAAAGCACCGCCCUGCCCACAUCUUAAUUUCAGACUUCUGGCUUCCAGAACCGUGAGACAAUAAAUUUCUAUUGUUUUCAGCCACUUAGUUUGUGGCACUUUGUUAUGACAGCCCUAGGAAACUAAAUUCAAUUAGUUUGGGGAGAAAUAACAUCUUUACUAUGUUGAGUCUUCCAGUCCACGAACAUAGUAUGUUUCUCCAUUUGUGUAGAUCUUUGAUUUCUUUCAUCAGCAUUUUUUUGUAGUUUUCAGCAUAGACAUCCUGCAUAUAUUAUGUUAGAACAUCCUGUGUAUGUUGUGUAGGUUUAGUUAUACCCAAAUAUUUCCUUUUUUGUUUCUUUCUUUUUAGAGCUAUUAUAAAUAGUAUUGUGUUCUUAAUUUCAGCUUCUAAUUACUCAUUGCUAACAUAUAGGAACACAAUUGAAUUUCAUGUGUUGAUCUUAUAUUCUGUGGCCACGAGAAACUCAGUU
rnacentral:lncRNA from 10 species